GGGGCAGGGCCCGAGACGGAUUCUAUAUAAUAAUGAAUGGAAUCGCUUUGAUUGAUUGCUUGUGAUAGCUUAUCGAUGCUUGUUAGUAGUGAAGUCCCUCAAACCAGAAGUUUCAAAAGCUUUUGACUGGGCCUACGAGAGAAAUGAACUUUACAUACUGAUAUCGCAUACCGAAGGGAAGGCCUAAUUGCACCACUCCUCCUUACCUUCCGCCAGCCGUCCCCCUCCUAGCCUUGAACAGAAGCUCAAGUGCACGAAGACCCUCUAACUUAAGCAGGUGCUAUCACUUAAGAGAAUCUCCGGGUCCUUCUUAAAGACUACCACCUUCUCUUCGGGCAUUGGAAGAUUCAUCAACUCCAUAUAAGCUGGAUGAUCUGAGCCUUCUUUUUGGAUUGGUCAAGACCUAGACCUAAUGGUCAGGGCGUACGUAGCCCACGUCUCUUCCACCCAAAAGGAGUUGCUGGAAAGCCUGGAACCGAACCUGACCUAUACAAGGAGAGUGGAAGAUAACGAAAGGGAGACAAAGUCCUAACUAAAUCAUAACACAAGCUACUAUUCCAUCUAUCAUAUCAGUCGAGUCAAUCCGAUUCGUUCUUAUCUAUAGAUAACGCAAGGGAUAACUUAUGACCUCGCGGAUGGAGAGGGAUUCGAACCCCCGGUAUUCCUAUCAAUACUGUGGAUUUCAAGACCGACUCUUUCAACCGCUUAGACAUCCAUCCCCUUCUGUUACCUACUUUGACUCAUAUCUUCAGUAUACCUCAAUACAAGACAAGCACAGGAAAGGAUAUUCAACCAAAACCGGGCUAUCGCCCUAUCUAAGCAGGUUGACCCUCUCCUCUACGGAAGUCCUUUUUUCAUCUAUUUCUUUCAGUUCUUGUGUUUAUCACUAUCGCCCUAUUAUCUCUCAAUUGCCUAUCCUUUAUAGAUGAGGGGGAGGCCCAAUCACUCUGUCUCGAAGGCAGGUUAAGUCAAGUGUAAAAUUAGGGUAGUGCAUUAAGAAGCUGCAACUAUCGCAUCAGCUAGAGCGGCAUUAGGCAUUGGAAAGGUGCUUAAUUCCGAUAGCGAUUUUAGGCUUUCAGAGAGGGAGAGGAAAAGAAAGACGAGACCGGCUAAAGGAGUUGCAGAGGCUCUCGAACUUUCUGUGAUCACUAUACGGUGAUUGUGAAAUUGGGAUCAGUUUAUAACUCCUUUUUUCUCUCUUCAAGUGGAAGGCAGGGAAGAUCAAAUGGAAUAGAACACUCUUCAUACUAUUUAUUCCAUUAUGUGCUUCCCUCUUCAAGAGCUAAGCUACUAGACUCAAAUCGUUUAUAGCAUCUCGUAUGGGACAUAUAUAGUCUUUACCCGAAUAGAGUACUUCAUUCUGACUUUCUCAUAGCAGGCAAUCCGUGUGAAAGGGCUCUCUCAUCUGCUAUUUGUACCAGAAGACGAAAGCAAGGAAUCCUAGACUUCCGAGACGAUAGGAGCGAGGCUAAGCGUUAUAAGGCAGCUAAGGCAAUCAGUUAAUCUCUUUCUAAAAUAGAUCUCCCUUCAUCUGGCUUAGCUCAUGGAAUAGUAGCUCUUCCGUUAUACUCUGGAGUGAAAGAAAAGCCCUAUUUUUCCCACCUUAUUAGACUCAUUUCCUAGACGACACCGAUUUCUUACGCUUUCUCGACCCGAGUGGUGGGUUAGGUCCUUCUGAUCCGGAUACCUUAGAUCUGGCUAUGCUUGUUUGCUGACCUGUGCUACCUAUUCUAUUCUUGACACAUUAGGGUAGGAAUAAGUUUAAGCUGAGCUGCCUAUCUCGCUGUGAGCGCUACCUAAGCACUGUUGAAGGCACUCAGAGAAGAGUGGAAUAGUCCUAGAGUUGAGAGGGCUUCUCACUAACACUUUCGACUCACUGCCAAAAGGGAUUGAUUCCCGGGAAGGCAAAUGCUACCUUGACAGAAGACUUUACUAAACUUCCAUAACCUUGAAUGAAAAAAGAGAGAUUUUGAUAUAUCAUUAAGGGAAUAACUCUUCCUUUACUGAUUGGAAUGGUCUUAUUGAAAUGAUAUUCCUUUUAUUGCUUGCACCUACCAGAAGGAGGAGAGAUCCUUAAUUACUGAUUAAGAGAAAGCAGGGAUGCUAAGAGUGCUCGCUAAUGUCAGCCCUUUGAUUGCUUACUUCGCUAUCCAAGCGGGAUGUUACGAGAGUUUCCAGAUGAGCAGGAAGGGCUGGAGGACGUAUUACCGGAGGAGAGGACUGAAUAGAAAGAACGAAAGUGACGUACAUACUGGAUUGACUAGCGUGUGCCAACUAUUCUACUUCCCUAUUUCUUGCUUUUUCACCUCCCCUUAUUAGUGCACUCUUUCCCCCAAUUCACCGAUAGAGAAGAAAGAGAUAAGCAAUAACCGGACUACACCAAUGAAAAUGGACCAAGGUUUUUAUUCGUUAGCCAAGCGCGCCUAUUACAGCGCCUCUAUUAUAGAAGCGAAAGCGAUGUGCCCUAUUGACCAGCCGAAGAGCAUCCUUAUAAAAGAAU
rnacentral:lncRNA from 1 species